rnacentral:rRNA from 1 species
AACGAACGCUGGCGGCGUGCCUAACGCAUGCAAGUCGAGCGAGAAAGCCCGCAAGGGUGAGUAAAGCGGCGCACGGGUGCGUAACACGUGGGUAAUCUGCCCUGAAGUCCGGAAUAACUCGCCGAAAGGCGUGCUAAUGCCGGAUAAGACCACGGGAGCCUCGGCUCCUGCGGGAAAAGGUGGCCUCUGUAUACAAGCUAUCACUUCAGGAUGAGCCCGCGGCCCAUCAGCUCGUUGGCGGGGUAAUGGCCCACCAAGGCUACGACGGGUAGCUGGUCUGAGAGGACGAUCAGCCACACUGGAACUGAGACACGGUCCAGACUCCUACGGGAGGCAGCAGUGGGGAAUCUUGCGCAAUGGGCGAAAGCCUGACGCAGCAACGCCGCGUGUGUGAUGAAGGUCUUCGGAUCGUAAAGCACUGUCGCGAGGGACGAAUAAGGGGCGGGUUAACAUCCCGUUCCGAUGACGGUACCUCGAGAGGAAGCACCGGCUAACUCUGUGCCAGCAGCCGCGGUAAUACAGAGGGUGCAAGCGUUGUUCGGAAUUAUUGGGCGUAAAGCGCGUGUAGGCGGCUUUGUAAGUUGGGUGUGAAAGCCCUCGGCUUAACCGAGGAAGUGCGCCCAAAACUGCAUGGCUUGAGUACCGGAGAGGGUGGCGGAAUUCCCGGUGUAGAGGUGAAAUUCGUAGAUAUCGGGAGGAACACCAGCGGCGAAGGCGGCCACCUGGACGGAUACUGACGCUGAGACGCGAAAGCGUGGGGAGCAAACAGGAUUAGAUACCCUGGUAGUCCACGCCGUAAACGAUGAGCGCUAGGUGUUGUGGGUGUUGACCCCUGCAGUGCCGCAGCUAACGCAUUAAGCGCUCCGCCUGGGAAGUACGGCCGCAAGGCUAA